GACGAACGCUGGCGGCGUGCUUAACACAUGCCAGUCGAACGGAAAGGCCCUGCUUUUGUGGGGUGCUCGAGUGGCGAACGGGUGAGUAACACGUGAGUAACCUGCCCUUGACUUUGGGAUAACUUCAGGAAACUGGGGCUAAUACCGGAUAGGAGCUCCUGCUGCAUGGUGGGGGUUGGAAAGUUUCGGCGGUUGGGGAUGGACUCGCGGCUUAUCAGCUUGUUGGUGGGGUAGUGGCUGACCAAGGCUUUGACGGGUAGCCGGCCUGAGAGGGUGACCGGCCACAUUGGGACUGAGAUACGGCCCAGACUCCUACGGGAGGCAGCAGUGGGGAAUAUUGCACAAUGGGCGGAAGCCUGAUGCAGCAACGCCGCGUGCGGGAUGACGGCCUUCGGGUUGUAAACCGCUUUCGCCUGUGACGAAGCGUGAGUGACGGUAAUGGGUAAAGAAGCACCGGCUAACUACGUG
rnacentral:rRNA from 1 species